rnacentral:tRNA from 1 species
AGACCCAGGAACAAAAGUUCUUCUCCAAAUUUGCAAUUUGGCGCUUGCUGGGCC